rnacentral:rRNA from 1 species
GAUGAACGCUGGCGGCGUGCCUAAUACAUGCAAGUCGAGCGAACAGACGAGGAGCUUGCUCCUCUGACGUUAGCGGCGGACGGGUGAGUAACACGUGGAUAACCUACCUAUAAGACUGGGAUAACUUCGGGAAACCGGAGCUAAUACCGGAUAAUAUAUUGAACCGCAUGGUUCAAUAGUGAAAGACGGUUUUGCUGUCACUUAUAGAUGGAUCCGCGCCGCAUUAGCUAGUUGGUAAGGUAACGGCUUACCAAGGCAACGAUGCGUAGCCGACCUGAGAGGGUGAUCGGCCACACUGGAGCUGCGACACGGUCCAGACUCCUACGGGAGGCAGCAGUAGGGAAUCUUCCGCAAUGGGCGAAAGCCUGACGGAGCAUCGCCGCGUGAGUGAUGAAGGUCUUCGGUUCGUAAAACUCUGUUAUUAGGGAAGAACAAAUGUGUAAGUAACUAUGCACGUCUUGACGGUACCUAAUCAGAAAGCCACGGCUAACUAC